rnacentral:rRNA from 1 species
CAGCCGCCACGGUAAGACAGAGGUCCCGAGCGUUGUUCGGAUUCAUUGGGCGUAAAGGGUGUGUAGGAGGUCGGGUAAGUCAGGUGUGAAAUCUCACAGCUUAACUGUGAAACUGCGCUUGAUACUGCUCGGCUAGAGGAUCGGAGGGGGUAACGGAAUUUAUGGUGUAGCAGUGAAAUGCGUAGAUAUCAUAAGGAACACCGGUGGCGAAGGCGGUUACCUGGAAGAUUCCUGACUCUGAAACACGAAAGCCAGGGGAGCAAACGGGAUUAGAUACCCCAGUAGUCCCUGUCUCUUAUAA